rnacentral:tmRNA from 1 species
GUGUAUCAUACUGUUCCCAGAGACUUCCGUGUGUGAUUGCAUAUUGCCCAUUAAUUCUGUGGCAAAUGAUCCCUCUAGCAGUAAAUUGGUGGUACACUUUAUAUUAUCAUUGAUGGUGAUAAAUUCUGGAACAUACAGGCGAUAGCAAGGGCAGGCAGUGAUUGCGCUCUGUUUGUUGAAGUCUUCCAUAUGUUCGCUACAGACAUAGCUGACAACGUUCACCAUCUUCUCAUUGGCAUCUUUGAGGUUAUACAAAAAACUUGUUGUCUUCUCUCCUGAAUUUACAGAGGAGAUAAAAAAGAUCUUGGCAUCCUUCUGUAACAUAAACCCCAAGAUUGCUGGAAGUGCUUCCUUCUUUAUGAAAUUUGCUUCAUCAACAAACAGUAGAUUAAAUGUCUGCCCCCGGAUGCUCUGUGAAUAAAUCAAAGAAUCUGGUUACUGAUCAGGAUCUCCUGGAUGUGGUGAAUUUUUUUAACAGACCAUUACAUGCUCUCAUUGCUGAGGUGUCAAAAACCACUUCUGAUUUGGAACUUGUCAGGUCAACCACCCAAGGUAUUGAAAAUAUCUGUCUCCUGCUAGACUUGGUAGGAACAGAAUGUAUAAAAGAUGCAAGCGCGGCCAAGACAAGUGUAUGAUGCGGCCUCUUUCUAACCCUUUAACAGAGGCCUAUAACGUGCAAAAUUUGUACCAGUGUCUAAAUUGUGAUGAUUAUCACUUGUGUAAUGGUUCUCUCAACUGUGAUCCUCUGGUGGAUCGAGAGGGAAUUGUGUGCACAGUCACUGGAAAGUAUAUCCAGUGUAAUGUCAGGGAAUCACCCAUGUGUGGGGCAGCGUGUCUGGACGUGGACAUUCACCCAGAGGACAAUACAGACUGCAUUCUGCGGGCACUGUUUGGUGACAUUGUAGAUAUUAUUAAUAAAUUGGAUGAUAUUGCUGAAAUUAAAGAUAAGAUCCUCGCUGGAGACUCCCUAAAUGAGCACAUCAAGAAGAAAAUUGAGUGUACCUUUCCAAUGUGCGCCAACAUCAUUAAUUGUAAUAGCCAAGGCUAUUCCAUACUUUGUAGCAUGUUUGUCCAUAUUAUUAUGUCAAUCUAUGCCAACAAAACCAUAUAUGGCCACAUGCUAUUUAAAUGCACCAGAAAUAAAAAGUAUGACACCAUUGCCAAGAAAAUUAGAGAGAAAUGGAUGUAUUUAGAAUAAAUAAAAAAAGUGUUCCUUUACAACAAGAUGAGCUCCUGGUCGAUCUGUUUCUCCCAGAACAUUUAUUGGCAAUUUAUGGCAUACUACCCAACAGGAACUUUGUGUACACCUCCUCUGUGUGUGAUUAUCAAUCUGGUCACGUCCUGCCUUAUAGAAGAGUUUGGGGAAAAUUUAUGAAGGCAGGUGAGUCUGGAGGCCCAGUUGGAAGUCAGGGGCUGUGUGUCUCUAUUAUUGUGAGAGUUCAUCAGAAUCUUUCUUGCCUGGACAUGGCCCUGUUAAAAGUUUCAAACUGGGAUGAGGGCUUCUUUAGAAUAAUUAAAUUUUCUCUGCUUAAUCUCCUUAGAAUGUUCUAUAUCACCUCAGUCCCACCCGUCACCAGGCUCAAAAAAACCGCCUUUGAGGAGCUCUGCAACCAAGUGUCCAGUGAUAAGCCCCCUGCCCACGCAGCUGCGUCUUUUCUCCUGUCUUUGUUGCCCAACACCGUCUGUGAGACUACCAAAACACACUGUGCGCUGGAGAACCCUGGCUACAUCAGAGGCUCAAACCCACCCACGUGUCAAACACAGCCAGCCACGGAGACACUGCCCUGUAAGAACAGGAGGACAGAAAGGCAGCCCAGGACAGAGUACAGUUGGAAAUUGCUCCACCAUGUUGAGAAUGGUGCUCCCUACUAUGUUGAAGAUACCCAUAACCCCAUAGAGGCACAACAUAUUCAUCAGAAGCUAUUAACAGUCAUGACUGGAGACCCCCCCGCCAAAGCCCCAACUGACAUAUUUUUAAUGGAUACUGACUUCCUCCACGCUGUUCAAAAUAGAUUCAUCGACUCAAUUGAUCUCCCUGGUGUCAAAGAUGGUGGUUUGAAUAUUUUUCAGAAGUUUUCCAUCUUCAUCACUUAUGAUGAGACCACUAAACAUUUAUAUGAAAUUUUCCUAGACUCUCUAAUCACCCUCAGAAGCAAAAGCUCCAAAUAUCCUGCUUGGCUUAUGGCAUACUAUCACGGGCCUUCCUUUCAGGGGGUGUGGUUAGAUAUUGUAAAUGCCACUGCAACUGGAGAGGUAUUCAAGGGGGAUUCCAUAUAUUUAGGUAAAUGUCACGAGGGACUUUCUCCCACAUCAAUAGAUAAGCUAUUGAAAGGGCGUGGGAUAUUUUACAAUAAUUUGGUUCUUCUUUUGGUUCACUCAGAUCUGACUGCUUGGCUACUUCUUCCUGGAGGAUUUGUUAUUAAAGGAACAUACAUUCUGGGAAUUCAAGAAAAGGCCUUUGUUGGCAGAUAUUAUGGCAACCAAAGAAGAUAUAAUUCAGACAUUUCUGAAUAAAGAGUGUAUAUGGAUUGUAAAUAAAGCUUCAUGUUGCAGAAAGAAGGUCUUUACAUGCACCACGUCCAUUUCACCAAGCCUGAAACACCACUUUGGUGUGCCAGACGAUGGGGCAUGGUGCCUAAACGUCACUGUGUUGAUUCUGAAGCCUAAACAAUCUCCAUUUUCUGUUACAGUGUUUAUAAAUGGGAAACCCAUACUCUGCUCCAAUUCACAGUUAAUUUCUAUCCAGAAGGUAUCUGGCAGAGAGCAUAUGGCUGUGAUAUAUUUUGGAAAAUUUACAGGGAAGUCAGCCAUUCCAGUACCUAUGGAUCCUACAAUUCUAGAUCCUGGUUCUGACAGCCCACACAUUUUGUGUUCAGAUGUAAUGGAGUCCUCCACGUUGGUUGACCUGCCAGUUGUUGGUUCAAGUAAGCAAGUAGGAUAUACUGCCUGGCUUGCGAAUAACAGUAUCUAUGAAUACAUGUUGAGUACAGAACAUCAGAUGAUGUGUCCGUCCCUACCAGUGUUUCCCUCCCUGUCUAAGAUCCUCAAUAUUAUGACGUCCUGCACAAGUCCAACCUGUAAAAAAUGUGCAGGAUAUCGGAGGCACUGUAAGGUCUGCAGUGGUUAUACUGAUGCUACUGGAGAUGGGUAUUCGCCUUCAUGUCCCUGCACAACAUCAUGCGCUCUCAAACCAGGUGACAUCAUCCCCAUAACUGGACACCAUACUUUGCUGCCAUUGUUGUUUGAUCCUGUCAAUGCCCACAGUGUCACACGGCUCAGAAUCACCCCUACCAGUUCACCUCAGCCCUUGGAUCAAAUUAUUACUGGUAUCACCGAGUCAGGGGAGAGUGUUCCAAUUACCCUGGAGGCGUGGAAACUCGUGAGGCUAUCUGACCUUUACUCCCAUCUCUAUAUUAUAUCAUGUAAGGCACUUAAAUCACACUUACAUUCUUGUUGAAGCAUGUGGCACACAUCAAGGUGCUGGAUUUUUUCCCAGGAUGUGAGUACAGGAUCACCCCAUUUUCCUUUUUAAUGUCAAUAUUCUUUCUUGGGAACCAGGCCAGCAGAAUGUUUGAGAUUUCCAGGAAAACUGCCAAGGACACAUGUUUUUGGUGGGCUACGUAGCCAAUAUGUAAAUCAUCCACUGAUGUCAGAAGCAUGCUUAUGAUUGCUGUCACAAUCCAGGUUUUGCCAUGGCGCCGGGGAAUCAAAAAGGCUGGUGAUUUUUGCAAAAAUGUUAACAAGUCUGUGUUGUCAAAAUAUAACAUGUCUAAUAAAAAUUUGAAUUCAUCAAAA